UUUGAUCCCUUCAUGUAUCCAUUCAAUGCUAUCAUGCACAAAUCCAUUUAUCCCUCAGUUUACAAAAACCUUAUACCCACCGAAAAUUCCUUCAAUCAGAGCAUACACAUCUUCCUAAACUUCCACAUUACACACGAAUGAUAAUAACAGUCUCUUUUCUCAAUUCUCAUUAUUUCAAGGAAAUAAUCCUUUUAUCAAUUUUAC
rnacentral:misc_RNA from 1 species